rnacentral:rRNA from 1 species
GACGAACGCUGGCGGCGUGCCUAAUACAUGCAAGUCGAGCGCACAGGUGAGGAGCUUGCUCCUCCGACGUUAGCGGCGGACGGGUGAGUAACACGUGGAUAACCUGCCUAUAAGACUGGGAUAACUUCGGGAAACGGGAGCUAAUACCGGAUAAUAUCUUGAACCACAUGGUUCAAUAGUGAAAGACGGUUUUGCUGUACCUAAUAGAUAGCUCGCGUCGGCAUAGGCUAGUGGGUAAGGUAACGCCUUACCAAGGCAACAUUCCGAGGCCGACCGGGAAGGGUGAUCGGCCACAUUGGAACGGGAACACGGCCCAAACUCCUACGGGAGGAAGCAGAAGGGAAUCUUCGGCAUUGGGCGAAGGCCGAACGGGGAAAGCCGGCGUGGGGAAUGAGGGUCUUGGGUUCGUAAAACCCUGUUAUAGAGAAGAAACAAGUGGGUAAGGGAAUGUGCACGACGUGACGGUAACUAAUCAGAAAGCCACGGCUAACUACGUG